rnacentral:ncRNA from 1 species
AAUUGGCUUGUGGCAGCCAACCAUUCAUAGCAACGCCACUUUUUGAUCCUUCAGUGUCUGCUCUUGCUAUCAUUGUGAAGCAGAAUUCACCAAGCAUUGGAUUGUUCACCUACUAAUAGGGAACAUGAACUGGCUUUAGACUGUCAUUAGACAGGUU